rnacentral:rRNA from 1 species
GCAUAUCAAUAAGCGGAGGAAAAGAAACUAACAAGGAUUCCCCUAGUAACUGCGAGUGAAGCGGGAAGAGCUCAAAUUUAAAAUCUGGCAGUCUUUGGCUGUCCGAGUUGUAAUUUAGAGAAGUGUUACCCGUGCUGGACCGUAUACAAGUCCUCUGGAAUGGGGCGUCAUAGAGGGUGAGAAUCCCGUCUUUGAUACGGACUACCAGUGCUUUGUGGUGCGCUCUCGAAGAGUCGAGUUGUUUGGGAAUGCAGCUCAAAAUGGGUGGUAAAUUCCAUCUAAAGCUAAAUACAGGCGAGAGACCGAUAGCGAACAAGUACCGUGAGGGAAAGAUGAAAAGAACUUUGGAAAGAGAGUUAAACAGUACGUGAAAUUGCUGAAAGGGAAACGCUUGAAGUCAGUCGCGUUGGCUGAGAAUCAGCCUUGCUCUUUUGCUUGGUGUACUUCUCAGUCGAUGGGUCAGCGUCAGUUUUGACUGCUGGAUAAAGCUCGAGGGAAUGUGGCAUCUUCGGAUGUGUUAUAGCCUUCGUUCGUAUACAGCAGUUGGGACUGAGGAACUCAGCACGCCGCAAGGCCGGGUUUUUAACCACGUACGUGCUUAGGAUGCUGGCAUAAUGGCUUUAAUCGACCCGUCUUGAAACACGGACCAAGGAGUCUAAC